GUGCUCCAGCAGAAUUUCAACAAGCCACAACAGAUCAGAGACAUUUACUCAGCCAGGUAGGCACUGAGUGCUCAUCCUUCUUCUUGGCAGACCUGAGGUUUUUGACGUCUGAUGUGUUCGCCGAACUCUGCAUCUUGAUGCUGGUUCAUAAGUCAAUGGAGAUUAAAGUGCGAGAAAACAGUAAACGGGAAGAACUUCAGGGUCCUGCAGGAAUCCGGAGCAGGGGUUAUUUUCUGUAUCGGCCGCGAAAUGGAAGAAGAACCCUAGAAUAUGAAUAACUAAAGGAUGGAAAAACCUCUGAAGGACACAAAGACCCAAGCCGCUGCACCGUGACCAAGUGAUUCUAACCUCAGCCUUCUGCCAACGCUCCACAGUGAUGUCUGAAUGUACACAAAGAAUAU